AUUGAACGCUGGCGGUAGGCCUAACACAUGCAAGUCGAGCGGCUGCAGAGUACUUGCUCCUGGUUUCAGCGGCGGACGGGUGAGCAAUGCCUAGGUAUAUGCCAGUUAGUGGGGGAUAACGUCCGGACAUGGGCGCUCAUACCGCAUACGCCCUGAGGGCGUACGUGGGGAAUCUUCGGACCUUCCGCUCUUAGAUGAGCCGAGGUCGGAUUAGCUAGUUGGCGGGGUAAAGGCCUACCAAGGCGACGAUCCGUAACUGGUCUGAGAGGAUGAUCAGUCACACUGGAACUGAGACACGGUCCAGACUCCUACGGGAGGCAGCAGUGGGGAAUAUUGGACAAUGGGCGAAAGCCUGAUCCAGCCAUGCCGCGUGGGUGAAGAAGGUCUUCGGAUUGUAAAGCACUUUUGUUGGGAAGGAAAGGCAGCAAGUUAAUACCUCGCUGUUCUGACGUUACCAACAGAAUAAGCACCGGCUAACUUCGUG
rnacentral:rRNA from 1 species